GUUAAUAACUUCAGGGAAGGAUGCAGAGAAAUGGGGUGAGAUGAGUCAUGAAGAUUUAACUUGUGCUCCUCUCUCUUUUGCUGUAGGUGUGUGUGAGUGUGUGUGUGUGUGUGUGUGUGUGUGUGUGUGUGUGAUUUAGUUUCACACUAGUUUGAGAAUCACUACCUCAUACAACAUGUUUUGUGGGUUUCUCAUGGAGUUGAAAGACUGAAUAAAAAGGCAAUGGUCAGGUAAUUUCUGAUAAAGUCUGUCCCCAAAACACUUGAUAACCAAUUCAAGAGCCAAAUUACCACCUUUGAAAAUAAGCUACAAACUGUGCCCCAAAAGAGUCAGGUAUGGGCUGAUGGCUGCCAGCUUCCCAACCCUAACUCAGGACCCACGAACGAAAGCCAAAUGUGCUCCCCAAGCCAACCACAAAAGAUGCCCCACUCGUAUUUACCCCACCUCCUCCUUCCUUAUGCAACAGUUGGACACAGCUGAAGCCUUCUCUUUUCUCAUUAUACAGCUUCCCCACUCUCUUGCCUGACUUAGAGUCUCCAUCAAAACAAGUGAUGGUGACGGCCUCCGUGGCUAUAGCACGUCUGAACAAAUGCCUCCCAGUGUUCUCAUUACGUUGUGUGCGUCUAUUUCCAUAGAGCAAGAUGGGAGGAAGGGGCUGUUCUGGAUGUUAAUCCCACCCUUUCAGAAUAGGAGUCCAAAGGAGAAAACAAUAUUCUCUGACAAAGUGAAGACCUCAAAGCCUGAAUCACGGUUUAGGCAACACCAAAGAAGAU
rnacentral:lncRNA from 1 species